AACGCUAGCUACAGGCUUAACACAUGCAAGUCGAGGGGAAACGACAUCGAAAGCUUGCUUUUGAUGGGCGUCGACCGGCGCACGGGUGAGUAACGCGUAUCCAACCUGCCCACCACUUGGGGAUAACCUUGCGAAAGUAAGACUAAUACCCAAUGAUAUCUCUAGAAGACAUCUGAAAGAGAUUAAAGAUUUAUCGGUGAUGGAUGGGGAUGCGUCUGAUUAGCUUGUUGGCGGGGUAACGGCCCACCAAGGCAACGAUCAGUAGGGGUUCUGAGAGGAAGGUCCCCCACAUUGGAACUGAGAUACGGUCCAAACUCCUACGGGAGGCAGCAGUGAGGAAUAUUGGUCAAUGGACGAGAGUCUGAACCAGCCAAGUAGCGUGCAGGAAGACGGCCCUAUGGGUUGUAAACUGCUUUUAUAAGGGAAUAAAGUGAGAGUCGUGACUCUUUUUGCAUGUACCUUAUGAAUAAGGACCGGCUAAUUCCGUGCCAGCAGCCGCGGUAAUACGGAAGGUCCGGGCGUUAUCCGGAUUUAUUGGGUUUAAAGGGAGCGUAGGCCGGAGAUUAAGCGUGUUGUGAAAUGUAGAUGCUCAACAUCUGAACUGCAGCGCGAACUGGUUUCCUUGAGUACGCACAAAGUGGGCGGAAUUCGUGGUGUAGCGGUGAAAUGCUUAGAUAUCACGAAGAACUCCGAUUG
rnacentral:rRNA from 1 species